rnacentral:lncRNA from 1 species
GGGCACCUGCCAGAUGCCAGCCAGAGCUCUUCUGUAUGAGAUCUCCCUAAGAUACAACACAACAGUGCCUAGCCUGGAAGCCACAAAGGACUUCAAAUAACACAGAGAAGUGACCCACCAGAAUUACCUGGGAAGCUUUUAAUAAGUUGUGGAUGUUGCUUGAGAAUCUGUGCUUUUGUUAUGCAGUGUUCUUGCAGAGAUUAUUUCCACUUGCCUGCCGUGCAUAGUUUUGAAAAAAGCCAAACUAGAUUGUGAGCUCCCUGAGAGCAGGGACAUACUCCUUUCCCUCAAAAUUAUGGCCUUUGUGUCUCGUAUACCUUCUGACAGAUAUUAGGCACUGAAUAAAUUUUUGUUAAAUGAAUGAAUGAGUCUUUGGUUUCAAUGACAUUUGCUUCUCUUGAGGAACCUGGUUAGUUGACAUAAAUUGCAUGAUACCACAUAGAAUGGGGAAGCUCUCCCUUUCCUCUCUCUUGCUCAGGUCUGCAGAAGUCCAAGGGUCUUCUGCCUCUCCCUUCAAUUAAAUUUCAAAACCAGCAGUUACUACUGUUGGGUGUGGGACAAAAUGCCUACUACUGGUGGGCUGCUAAGACUAGGCAUGUACAUACAAGAAUAAACACAAUAUAUAUUUAGGCGUUUGAAUGGAUACAGAUGCCUAAGAGAGAGAGUCUAUCAUGAAAAAUUUGAACAAGUAGCCCUCAUCUACUAUAAAACCUACAGUUUUCUAACCUGAAUUAUUAUUGUUUCAGUUAUCUGCUAAAUGUAAGCUCUUUGACGGCAGUAUCUAUGUCUAUUCAUACUUGUAGCCAUCAUAGCAUCUGACACAGUGCAUUGCAUAUUGUAAGAGCCCAGUAAAUGCUUAAUGAGGGUAUAUAUGGAUCAGAUUGCCCAGAAGGAACUCUAUAAAUAAUGAUUGAAUAUCUUCUUUAAUAAAAUGAGGGAACUGGAUCAGAAAGUCUAAAAGAAGUUCCCUUUAUUGCUCAAUUUUUAUGAUCCUGUGAUUUAGAAAAAUAAUUUUAAUGGGCAGUUUCAUAGUUUGAAUGACAUAUUAUUCAGGCUUUUUAAAUAUAGGUGUUAGAAAUGAAGCUUAAAGCAGUUGGAAGCAAUAGAGAAUAAGGCAGGAAUUAAGUACUUCUAAUUAACAAUGCUAGAUAAUGUCAGUGACUGUUUCUUGUAUCUGUACUGUAAGGACAAAUGCUGUUCAUAGUUGUAACUUCUAAGACAAGGCUUUGAUUUCUUUACAGUAUUCUUCACCUACACCAGAACCACUUGUAAAGAGGCAAGAAUAUUUACUAAGAGUUGAAUCAUGAUAUGUUUUUUUUGCAAUAUAUUGUUUAAGGUUUCUUUUAAGUCCUGCCUCUUUCAGGAAGCCUUUACCUAAUAGUUCACUUCUCUCCAGGAAAGGACUGAUCUUUACAUGUAUAUCUUUCUGUUACUGUAUUUAGGCCCACAAAACCCCUAACUAGAUAUUGCCUAUGGGUUAAGAACAGAGUAAAGAUAUGAAGAACUGUUUUCAGACAUGUAAAAUAAGGUAAUGUGAAUCAUGUAGAAGAGACAAUAUCUUUAUUCCUUUUACUCUCAAAUCAUAAAAACGAAAGUUAUAGGAGGGAAGAUUUGACUUAAUAAUAGGGAGAAUGUUUCUGAAAGGUAGAACUCUUUGGAAGGGACAUGAUCUACUUUCUACUGUGUGCACUAGUAGUGCUUAGGCAUCUUGUAAGGAUUGUUGUGCAGGGAGUUUCUCUUUCAGCUUGAAGGUCAGCUAAAUAUAUCAUCUGAGAAUCUGUAAUUGAAUUUAACAAAUAUUUUAGUGCAUCUUUGCAGUAGGCAUUAAACUCUACAUAAUUAGGUGAUGGCUGGUAUCUGUUACAGUCUAGCACAACUGGCUUAGGAGGCAAGUCUUAUUCUUGCAGCACUAUUCACAGUCACAAAAAUAUGGAAUUAACCUAGGUUUCCAUCAAUGGAUGAUUGGAUAAAGAAAAUGUGGUGUAUGUAUGUAACAUGGAAUACUAUUCAGCCAUAAAAAAGAAUGAAAUCAUGUCUGUUGCAGCAACAUGGAUAGAACUGGAUCUCAGCUCACUGCAACCUCUGCCUCCAGGGUGCAAACAAUUCUCCUGUCCCAGCCUCCCGAGUAGCUGAGAUUACAGGCACCUGCCACCACUCCUAGCUAAUUUUUUGUAUUUUUAGUAGAGAUGGGGUUUCACCAUGUUGGCCAGGCUGGUCUCGAACUCCUGACCUCAUGACCCGCCCACCUCGGCCUCUCAAAGUGCUGGGAUUACAGACGUGAGCCACCAUACCUGGCCUGGAGGCCAUUGUCUUAAGUGAAAUAACAGAAACAGAAAGUCAAACACCACAUGUUCUCAAUUCUAAGUGGGAGCUAAAUAAUAUGUACACAUGGCCAGAGGGCAUGGAAUAAGAGUCAUUAGAGACUCAGGUGCGAGGGAGGUGAGAGAUAAGAAAUUAUCUAAUGGGUACAGUCUUCACUAUUCGGGUGAUGGUUAUGCAAAACACCAUGUUUAGCUUUCCCAAAUAAUAGCACAGUUAUUGAAUGAGGGAAAUGUGGUAUAAUGGUAGCAGAUUUGUUUACCAGUGUUGGCCAGCAACCAGGAAAUUAGUUGGUCAGUGAGUCACAACAUUAAUGGGGCUGCCAAAAUAUCCUCUAAUGAGCUGUUUUGUUGUAUUGAAUGAAGUAAUUAAUAAUUUUUUUAAUUAUAAAUAUUUAUAUUCCAAAUAGAAGUAGAAGUUGGUACUUAAUAUUGAACAGACUACACCAAAGAAGUAGGUUAAGAGAGAAUCUUUUAAGAGAAACAAUUUUCUUAGGUACUUUAAAGGAGCAUUAAUAAUAAAUACGGGGAUAGAGAGUAGGAGGUAAGUUGGCUAUUUUAGAUAACAUGGGCAGGUUAAGUUCUUCCUGAGAGACAACACUUGAAUGGUAGAGAAAGUGGUCAACUGGAGCAGAAUGCCCCAUCUGAAGGAAGAAUCUACUCUGCUGCUUCCCAGCUGCAGCUUACUGUCACCAGUCCAGUGUUGCCAGGACUACUAUUUUUCAAGAGAAACCAAGAUUCCAUGUUUCUUUAUGAAAAUUUUUAAACUGAGCAGAUAAACAAGCAUAUCUGAAGAAUAGAUUAUCUUUUCUGUCAGUUUGUGACCUGGGUGAUGCUGUCUUCUGAGUCCUCAGCCCUAUGUUGGAACAAAGAAAAAGGCUUUGAAGAAACCAGAGAGCUGCUUUAAAUACUUGUGGGUUAUCAGGUGGAAGACAGAUUUGACUUGUUCUAUUUCCAGAAGGCAGAACAGAGACAGGCAGAUUUUCACUCAAGGAAACACUUAACAAUUAGAGCAGACUAGAAAUAGAAUAGGAUGUUUGCUUGGAAAUUCUUCUGUUCCUGGAAAGUGGUGUUCAAGCUAAUAGUGGAUGAUGAGUUGUCAAAAGUGUCUAGGGAAGGGUCUAGGUAAGAUGACAUUUCAAGUUCCUUUUUAUCUUGAAAUUCUUGAAUCACCAAGAUCUAGAUCCCUGUUCAGCUCUUCUCCAUAUCUUCACCUUCAUGUUCACAGCUGAGUUAUCACCUUCCCAUACUAGGAAAGUCAGUAUGUAAAGUCAGUUUCUUAAAGGCUUGGUUUUUCUGUGUGUCUGCUUACAUAAUGAAGGUUCAUUGGUUUACAGUUCUUGUUUAAGAUGUCCUUUGCAUGUUAGGUUCAUUGGUUUGCAGUUCUUGAUUAAAAUGUCCUUUGCAUGUUAAGCAGUCACAAAACUUGAAAUUAAAGCUUUUAGAGUCUCUGAAGCUAUAAUUGUUUUAUUCUCCCAACUGCGCAUAAAACGGUUUGAUAGCUAGUGCUUUAACUAAAGCUAGUUGUGUUCGAGUUCUAACUUUGCAGCUGUCUUGGAGAUCUAAUACAUUAGCAAAGUGAAGUGAAGUAAAGAUAUAUUUUUCAAAAGUCCUUGAGUGGGAUUAUCUUACACUUUAUUAUUUAUCUUGAUACUAAAGAUAAGAAAUAGAUCUCUGCUAUUUCAUUUUUCUUUACUCAGUAUACAUAACUUUUUGUCAAGAGUUAAUAUAGAAGUAUGUCUGUUUCUCUCAUAACCCUUGUUUUAAUGGUUAACAAUUGUUUAUUUCUUAUCAGGAUGAGAGUUAAUAUAUUGCCAUCCUUGAUAAGAACUCUUGGUCUAAUUUUACUUAUAACUGCUUUAAUUACUUUAUAACACACUAAUGCCAUAAUCUAUAUAAUGCUUGCAUGUCCAGUGCGUGUAUUUAUUUCUAGAUCAGUGAUUGUAAUAGGUACUAGGUGCUUAAAAAUACCUAUACUGGAAUAUAAGCAAUUACAUUUUUUCAAAAUGUAUGGAGUCUUUAUUAUGAUACUCAUGAAUGUUUUUAAUGAGAAUAUGAUAAUAAACCCUACAUCUCUUCCUAAAUCUCCGAUCAGUAGUAGUGUGACCUGGUGCUACCUAUCAGAAGAAUGAGGGCCCUCCCUUAGCAGUGGAGUACUGAAAACUGUAUCUCUGCCUCUCCUCCUUCACACCCUCCUUCAAUUCAUGAUCCUCAGGGAGACUUAUUUUGCCUAGUUUAGUUACUGAGUCUGGUGGUUGACCUCUUGAGUAAUGAAAGGACAUUACUGAGAAUUUUGAGAGUGCUGAGAGUGAGUGGAUACUUUUAAGGUUUUCUCUUCAAGCUUUUGUUCCCUAAUUUGGAAAGGUAAGUAAUGUUUGAUAAUCUUACUAAAUUCCACAGUUAUUUAUUCUCUCAAACCCUUCAGAAAAUACCCAAUUGAAUAAGAUAUAAAUGUUUAAGGAACUUUUUUUUCUAUGUUGAACCAGAUAAAUCUAAGAAAUAAAAGAAAAGCUACAUAAUCUGCAGUAUAAUAUUAAUGAAAAUACAGCAGAGACUUGCAGUUACCAUGUUAAGGUACAGAUGAUUUCCUAAAUGAAUUCAUUUGUCUAUGAUCAGUAACUAAAGAAGCAGCUAGCUGGGGUAUCUACUCUUGUAGGGGAGCAGGUAGCCUUUCUGGGAGGAGAGCACAUAUUAACUGACUUAAACACCUUUGUUUUUUUUUUUUUCUGUAUUUGCUUUAAGUGAUACUGAAUUUGAUGGCUUUUUCUUUGGCUUGCUAAGGAUAAAAUGUAGAAAAUUUAAUUCUGCUUGGAUUAAUGAACAUAUUUUUAGAAUCUUGUACAAAUUGUAGCACUAAUGAAAGGUCCUCUGCUCCAGGCAUAAGGUUUCAUUUAAGAAUGAAAAAGCAAAUUGAGCUAAUGUAUUGUGUAAGAGGUUUGUAGUUAAAUACAUAAAAUGAUGUCAGUUUGAUUUCAGCUGGAGCUAAGGUACUCUGAUAGCUAUGAGAUGUUAAAAUAAUAGAAACAUUUAAAGAAGUAUGAUAGCUGAAUUUUAUAUAAAUAAAGUAGUUUGAUUUUUUAUAACUGGUAGCGUUUAUUUUACUUCAGUGAUUUGGCAGAGGUACUAAGCCAAAUAAUUUUUAAAUUGGUUUUAUCUUAAAUUGGUUAUAUCUGGUGGUAACAUUUAUGGAUAAUUAGAGUCAAAAUAAGCAAUUGUUUCAUCCUUUUCUACUUUACCAUGUUUUAAACAUUUGAGUUUGGAAAACUUAAAUUAUAUACAAAGUAGAAAAUUAGUAUAAUAAAGACUUUAAAUCACAUUUAUCAAUGCACAGGGAAUCGUGUUUUAACUAUACCCCCACCAAACAUAUCUUGCCUCAGAUUUUAAAGCAAAUUCCAAGUGUCAAUCCUUUCCUUAUAAAUAUUUCAGUAUGUAUCCUUGAGUAAGUCCAUAAGGACUAAUUUCUUUUAGCAUAACUAUAAUGCCAUUAAAACAGCUACUUUUUAGUUGCAGAUAAGAAGUAGGGUAGGAAUUGCUGGGGUCUAACCCAGUUCUGAUGACAUUAAAUAGAUCCUAGAUAGUUGGACAAAUCAUUUAACUUUCUUCUCUUCCUGCUCUCUUGUCUUUUAAAGGGGGAAGCUCAACUAAAUUUUCUUUAAAAUCCCAUCUGUCUCUGAAAUUUGUUAAUUUAAAAAAUUAGACUUCUAGUUUCCAGACUAGCAUGUAAGGAGCUUAGAAGUCAUUACGUCAAAAAAUAAACAGGUUAAAAAGCUGAACAAACUGAAAAAUUAACAGUUCUUCUUAGAUCUGUUAUAGAAGCAAGGUUACAGGGUAAACCACUCCCACCACCCCCAGAUUGAAGAGACAGGCAAAUACAGAGAACAGGAGCAGAAGCCUCUGCAGGAAUCAGCAUCACAGUAGGAAAACCUGAACUGCAAUUGAUAAAUUGCUGGGGCUCAGGAUAUACAAGCUUGAGAGUGAAAAACUUUAGGGGUGACGAGUCAUGAGACCUAAUCAUAGGACUAUAGAAUGCUCUACCCUCCCCCGCUUUCUUACCCCCACUUUCUUAGCCCUAUUUUCUGCAGUUCCUUUUACCCAAUUCACCAUGUCCAGCUCUCAAGAAAAAAAUUACAAGUGUACUAGAAGGCAAAUAAUACACUUCGAAGAGACAGAACAAGCAACAGAACCAGAUUCAGAUAUGGCAGGGCUCUUGAAAUUAUCAUAUCAGGAAUUUAAAACAACUAUCAUUAAAAUACUAAGGGCUCUAGGGAUAAAGUAGAUGCCAUGGAAGAGCAGAUGGGCAAUGUAAGCAGAGAGGUGGAAUUCUAAGAAAGAAUCAAAAAGAAAUGCCAAAGGUGAAAAACAGUGAAAUAAAAAUGAAGAAUGUUUUAAAUGAGUUCAUUGGUAGACUUGACACAGCUGAGGAAAGAAUCUAAAACCUUGAGUAUAUGUCAGUAGAAACUUCCAAGAUAGAAAAGUAAAGGGAAAAAAGACUGAAAUAAACUGAACAGAAUAUCCAAGAACUGUGGAACAACAAUAGGUGUAUCAUAUGCAUGAUGAGAAUACCAAACGAAGUAAAAAAGGAAAGGAACAGAUUAAAUAUUUGAAGCAGGAACAACAGAAAUUUUCCUGCAAAUUAAUGUCCCACACUAAACCACAGAUUCAGGAAGCUCAGAAAGCAUUAGGAUAAAUGCAAAAAAAAAAAAAAAAAGC